rnacentral:lncRNA from 1 species
CCAGGAUUGGGGUGGGGGGCAUGUAUCCAAAAUGGCUACUUCCUUGUCUCGGCUUCUGCUCUUUGGGUUCUUGCCUUCUGUGAUAUUGGAUUGGUGGCAUCUUUAGACACUCUCCCGGGAUGUGUGUGGUUGUGGCUGAAUUCUCACUGAGCCCCCUGGGUGGCAUCCUCUGGGCCUGGGAGGUGGAGUCCUGGAGAGCUGCUCCCUGCUCUCUGGGCAGCCUCUGGACUGCUGAGGGCUGGUAGCUCCUUCCCAGGCAGGGUGGCCUUUCUCACGUCUUCCAUCCUUCCUUCCUGUGCAGCCAUUCCGGGAGAGAGGAGAGGGUCCCAGAGCUCAUGUCCACUCCACUCCCUGGCACGAUCUGGUCUCCCACCCUUUGGUGAGGACCGUGUUCCUCCCAGAGGCUUUCCCUCCAGGCCCGAGGUGGGAACCUGCAGGACUCCCAGAAGCAGUUUAACUUUACUUAGCAGCUCAGCUCAGCUUGGAGGUUGAGAGUGCAGAGUCUACAACUGGAUCAAAUUCCAGCUCUGAUGAUGAUUAGUUGAGUGAAAGUGACUUAAUCUUUCUGAGCUUCAUUUUUAUUGAUGAAUCAGGAUAAUAUUAGUAGCACCUGCCUCAUAGAAGUUGUGCAUAUGAACUGAGAUAAUGGACUAAAGUGCUUAACUGGUCGAUAAAUGCUAUUAAUUUCAUUAUAUUUACAUAUUAACUAUUUAAUUCCAUGCCACAUUUUAUUCUGCCAGGAUCUCAGCUUCCUUCCCCUUUUCUGUUCCUGUCAUGGUCACCACACUGAUGCACCUUGCGGAAGAGAAGGUGGCAAGUGCCCUGUGUGCUUUUAUAUGUGAGACAGGACCUGACAAAUAAGUACUAUGAAAAAUACCUGGGGCCUGCUUAUGUAUCUGCAUUUUUGUGUUUCCUGUCGAAUGUCUUUAAUGUAUAAAUGUAGCAUCUUCUCAGUAAAAACACAAAUGCUUUUGGAGGACGGGGGGAGGAAGCAGAUACUAGAAUUGGCAUGCUGUUUCUAAAGCCCUCUGGGAAAAACAAACAUGUAAGAAAUAACCAAGAUAUUCCUGGAAAAGCAGAGCAUUGAGAGGGACACUGGCACUCCAGAUACUAAAAAGUCUAAGAUAAAGAUACCAUUUGCAAGGCUACAGAAAUGCAAACAGUGGGGCUGGCACAUGAACACACAGACGACUCAAGGGGAGAAAAUAAGUCCAGAAAUAAACUUACAAUCAGGAAUUAAGAAUAUGAUAAACAGCCAGACACAGUUUCUCACACCUGUAAUCCCAGCAUUUUGGGAAGCCAAGGCGGGCGGAUCCCUUGAGCCCAGGAGUUUGAGACCAGGCUGGGCGUCAUAGUGAAACCCUGUCUCCACUAAAAAUACAAAAAGUAGUCGAGUGUGUGUAGAGGUGUGAGCCUGUAGUCCCAGCUACUCAGGAAGGCGAGGUAGGGGAAAUACUUGAGCCCAGGAGGUUGAGGCUACAGUGAGCAGAGAUUGUGCUCCUGCAUUCUGGCCUGGGCGACAGAGCGAGACUGACUCAAAAAAAAAAAAAAAAAAAAAGAAUAUGAUAAACAUAGCAAACCAAAUACAUAAGGAAGAGAUGAGUAGGGCAAUGAACAGUGUCCAGAGUCCCAGCAGCAAAACAAAUACAAAAUG